UACGGAGGGUGCGAGCGUUGUUCGGAAUCACUGGGCGUAAAGGGCGCGUAGGCGGUCCGCUAAGUUCGGCGUGAAAUCCCCUGGCUCAACUGGGGAACGGCGCUGGAUACUGGUGGACUCGAGUACCGGAGAGGAGAGUGGAAUUCCUGGUGUAGCGGUGAAAUGCGUAGAUAUCAGGAGGAACACCGGUGGCGAAGGCGGCUCUCUGGACGGAUACUGACGCUGAGGCGCGAAAGCGUGGGGAUCAAACAGG
rnacentral:rRNA from 1 species